rnacentral:rRNA from 1 species
GACGAACGCUGGCGGCGUGCUUAACACAUGCAAGUCGAACGGAAAGGCCCCUUCGGGGGUACUCGAGUGGCGAACGGGUGAGUAACACGUGAGUAACCUGCCCUGACUUCGGGGUAACUUCAGGAAACUGGGGCUAAUACCGGAUAGGAAUCCUUGCUGCAUGGUGGGGGUUGGAAAGCUUCGGCGGUUUUGGAUGGACUCGCGGCUUAUCAGCUUGUUGGUGGGGUAGUGGCUUACCAAGGCUUUGACGGGUAGCCGGCCUGAGAGGGCGACCGGCCACAUUGGGACUGAGAUACGGCCCAGACUCCUACGGGAGGCAGCAGUGGGGAAUAUUGCACAAUGGGCGGAAGCCUGAUGCAGCAACGCCGCGUGCGGGAUGACGGCCUUCGGGUUGUAAACCGCUUUCAGCAGGGGCGAAGCUUGUGGUGACGGUACCUGCAGAAGAAGCACCGGCUAACUACGUG